GCUCCUCUCUGCGCGUGUGCGUCGGCCACAGGGCCCCAGCGCCAAGUGCGGGUCGGAGCGCCGGAGCGUGGGUCCCGGCCUGUCCUUCCCCCGGGAGGCAGGCGACCGGGGCGCCCUGCCCGCCGAAGUCGACCCGGGUACGCCGCACGCUGGGCGCCCAGCGGAGUCCACCAGCCCGAGACUGGCGGCCCCAGGCAAGUGCAGCCUCCCAGGUGCAGCCGAGGCCCCGCCUGGCUACGCGGCGGGAGGGCCAAGCCCGCGUGCCUCAGGUGCCGGGGUCGGUCUCGCGGGCAGGUAGAGCGCAGGCCCGGAAGUCAAAGGAGAAAAGUUUGUGUUGAGUUUAGACCUUAGGAGCGCGACGUCUUGCGCCCCACCGUGCCACCUACCAGGCUGCCCGCCUUUUAUAAGUGCCCGCAGGAAAGCGGAUGAUGUAGCUGCCCCGCCCUGGACCCGCCCCAACUGAGACCCCCCUUCCUCCACCCACCAACACCACCGUCGCUUUGCCAGAGGGGAGCCAAAUUCCGGAUCCCAACUUGGAGGACGUACCAGCAGCUUGGUGGUAGGCGACAGGAAAAAGGACAAGUGCCCCAACUGGAUGGAAAGCAAGCCCUGGGCCCAGACGCAGACCUCGCUGCUGAGACAGCUGCGGUGGACCCCGGCUGGUCUCUGCCGCCUCACCUUGGGCCGAUUUGUCAAGUUGAGUGCCUUGGAAGAAAACCCCACCACAUUACCCUGAUGGACGUCUGCGUUGGAAAGAAAGGCUUUGUGAAGACUUGUGUCCUACCAUAACACACACUAAUUGAACCCUGUGGUCUGCAUGCAGUUCCCGGGUUGUGCAAAAACAGACCAUGGCCACAGCUGUGGUCUGUCACCCCUUCUCUGAAGUAUCUGAGUACACGGGCCUCUCACUGUGUGGCCUCUCCCG